CAACCGUCAACCGUCAACCACGAGGCUGACCUCCCUGGGUUUUACUCACAUGUGUCUUCUGAGCUGAUGUGUGGGUCUCAGUUCUCGGUUCCUUCGUGCCUGGGGUGGCCACAUGCUGGUCCUUCUUUCCCUGGUUGCUUUGUCUUCUAUCCUGAUUCUGGAUCUCUGCCUACAUUUCUAUGGCCUGACCUCUCCCCUUCCUGCCUGGGACGGUAUCAAGCUCCCCGCUUCCCUUACCUGCGAGAUCGUCCCAGCCCGAAUCCCAGGUUUCCGCAGCACCUGGGGCCUCGUGGAGGAUGGCCGGUACCCACGAUGGCCAGCCGACAGUCUGGUUUCCACCGGAACAGGCGUCUGUGGGCCUCGGGAGCCAAGCAGGGCCGAGCUUUCCUCUGUCUCACUUAAUUGUUCAACCCCACUGAGCCCACUGCGCGCACCCGACUCUAUUGCCCCAUCGGGAAAAGAUGAGGCCAUCCCUGUGGCUGACCUCCGAGGGCUCCAGGCACCCUGCCUCUCGUCACAGGACCUGGGGGAAGAGAAAACUUUCACUAUACAGAUAUUAUGGACACAAAGAGAAAGAGGGAAACCUGGCUCCGAUGUAGGAGACGAGACAAGCAGCCAAAGGCCCUUGAGGGAGCCCCAAUGUUGGACUUGUCAGGCCACAGCUUUACAUCACGGAACCAAAAAGACACUGAAAGACUAAAUCCAAUUGCUUCUUGUCAUCUGCGAGGCUGCCUUGAGCUUCAUUUGUCCUGGACUUUAGCAGAUGGCUUCCUACCAGCUCCCUGUCCACUGCUCCCCCCCAUGGGGGAUCCCCUAAACGCUGAGGCAGGACCUGGCCUUCCCUCCCACUGCUUGCUAUCUCUGUGGGGUGGAAACCCAGGGUUCCUAUCGCAGCCCCACGAGUUCCCAGGCGUGUCUCUGUUCUCAUCCCUGUGACCCUCCGUUUCCUUCCUGCUUCCCAGGCACCUCCCACUCUUCCUCCCGGGCUUCCUCCCACUCUUCCUGGCCACGGACCACUGUUGCCCCAGGGUCUUGCACGCCCCUCCUCUGAGAUCACGACAGUGCAUGGUCUCAUGGGUAGCUCUUUCUCUUUGGCAAACAUCUGAGACAACCCCUAUGUGCUUUCCAGGCCCUGUGCUAGGAACCUGCCCUCUCAGAACCUCCAUCCUCCUGGAGGGAGAGAUACCCACCAUGUCACUGCAGAGAGAAGUGUAUGACGAUAACAGCAAAACACUAUAGAAGCUAUCGGGGACAAAGACAGGGCAACAGGGACUGCCACUUUUGGCCCCACAGAGAGGUAAGGUUUCUGUGAAGGAGUCAUGAUUCCCUGAGACCCAAGGGAGGUAGAGACUUACCAGACGAGGGAGGGGCAUGUGUCUCCAUCAGCGAGAAGGGUGGACGCAAAGUCAUCCAGGCAGGGUCAGAAAAAUGAGCAAGGCCGGCGGGGUUCUGGAUUCUUGAAGGAGGAUGUGAGGCGGGAGCUGUAGGUCGAGCUAUGGAUUUUGAGUUUCUUGCCGGAGUGACCACCACCGCCCAGUGACUCCAGCAGGGGAGUGAUACAAUCCAUUGGGUGGCUCCUGAGGCUCGCACUGUCUGCUUUGCGAAGGUCACAUAAGGGAGAGGCAAGGAUGGGUGCAGGGUCCCUUGGCAAUGGGGGAGUCCUGGUGAGAGGGACUGCCCACGCCUGCAGGGCAGGGCUGUGGGUGGGGUCAGGCCCCGUCUGAAACGGAGAGGGCGGGACUUGCUCGGGUUUGGAUGUGAGCACGUGGGCACAGCCAGCGCUCCUCCUGGAUCAGCAUCAAACAGAAAAAAAGCACCUUGUGAAGCUGUUCAGCAAGCGAAUAGUCUUGACCCAAUCUAGGUUGGUUCCUUGUACCUUAAUCAUUAAACCAUCUCUAUAGCCCAAGCAGGAAUUUGGGGACUUCCUUUUUCCCCUGCUUUCAUUUCUGACCUCCCUUCCCUAAGCCCAUUUUAAAGGGAGGGAAAGAUAAAGAGCAAACAGAGACAUCUUGGUCCCCGAGGUCACGGAGAUAAGUUUAAUAAUUUAAAUUGACCUAGGGGCCUCCGUAUGGAAAAACGCUCCAGGUAGAUGAUCGCGCGAGUCUUAACUCAUUUUCAAGUCUGCGCCCAGCCGGAGCGAAAGUGCUGAUGUCCCUCGGUCACACUCCGCUGGGUACACUGAUCUUCUCAUACCCAAGAGCCGGAGACAAUGAUUGUAUUGCUCAUAAGAUAUUUUUACCUGAAGUGAUAACGCAUACUGGUUUAGUUAUUAUUUCUUAAUCUUUUUUUUUUUUUUUAACUAGAAUCUUUCUUCAUAGUCCUGGGAAUACCCUUAAUUUUUAUAUUAGAAAUUGUCUUUUCCAC
ensembl:lincRNA